CGGAUGAUGGUUCUGAUGACGAGUGAACUUAAAGUUAUAUGUUGUUUGUGGUUUUCAUUAUCUUGUUUAAGUAUGAACUUAUUGUUAAAAAAAAUUAUGAAAUUUUAAUUUGUUGUUUGUGGUUUUCAUUAUCUUGUUUAAGUAUGAACUUAUUGUUAAAAAAAUAUGAAAUUUUAAUUUGUUGUUUGGGGAUUAUAACUUAUGUUGUUUAAGGUUUAGUGUAUAACUUAUGAUGUUUGGGGUUUGGGGUUUCGGUUUUAGGGUAUAAUCAAGUGUCGUCUCUAUUUCUUCGUAAAUGUCAAUGUCGUCGUAGAGACGUAGUAAAUAACGACCAAUUAAAGACGAAACGUAGUUUACUACGAACUUACGACGAAUGCUUUUACGAGAUAUUAUUUGCAUUCGUCGUAAAUUGGUAGUGAUUUUACGACGACUAAGACACGAAUGCCUUAUAUUCGUAUCUAUCUCGUCGUAAAAU
rnacentral:lncRNA from 1 species